rnacentral:rRNA from 1 species
UUACUUGGAUAACUGUGGUAAUUCUAGAGCUAAUACAUGCAAACAGAGCUCCGUCCGGAGACGGAAGGAGCGCUUUUAUUAGAUCAAAACCGAUCGUUGGUGGAUUUAUUCCAUCAUCGUACAAUUUGGUGACUCUGAAUAACUUUAAGCUGAUCGCACGGUCUCGCACCGGCGACGCAUCUUUCAAAUGUCUGCCUUAUCAACUGUCGAUGGUAGGUUCUGCGCCUACCAUGGUUGUAACGGGUAACGGGGAAUCAGGGUUCGAUUCCGGAGAGGGAGCCUGAGAAACGGCUACCACAUCCAAGGAAGGCAGCAGGCGCGCAAAUUACCCACUCCCGGCACGGGGAGGUAGUGACGAAAAAUAACGAUACGGGACUCAUCCGAGGCCCCGUAAUCGGAAUGAGUACACUCUAAACCCUUUAACGAGGAUCAAUUGGAGGGCAAGUCUGGUGCCAGCAGCCGCGGUAAUUCCAGCUCCAAUAGCGUAUAUUAAAGUUGUUGCGGUUAAAAAGCUCGUAGUCGAAUCUGUGUCACGCACCGCCGGUUCAUCGUUCGCGGUGUUAACUGGUGUGUCGUGGGACGUCCUGCCGGUGGGCUUAGCUCGCAAGGGCGGCCCAAAUCAAUCCUGCCGCGGUGCUCUUCAUUGAGUGUCGAGGUGGGCCGGCACGUUUACUUUGAACAAAUUAGAGUGCUUAAAGCAGGCUAAAAUUUCGCCUGAAUACUGUGUGCAUGGAAUAAUGAAAUAGGACCUCGGUUUUAUUUUGUUGGUUUUCGGAACCCCGAGGUAAUGAUUAAUAGG